UAAGGAAGGGGCUAGCGUUGUUCGGAAUUACUGGGCGUAAAGAGCGCGUAGGCGGCUUACAAAGUUGGGGGUGAAAUCCCGGAGCUCAACUCCGGAACUGCCUUCAAAACUGGUAGGCUCGAGUCCGGAAGAGGGGCGUGGAAUUCCCAGUGUAGAGGUGAAAUUCGUAGAUAUUGGGAAGAACACCGGUGGCGAAGGCGGCGCCGUGGUCCGGUACUGAUGCUGAUGCGCGAAAGCGUGUGGAGCAAACAGG
rnacentral:rRNA from 1 species